AUUGAACGCUGGCGGCAGGCCUAACACAUGCAAGUCGAACGAGUGGCGGACGGGUGAGUAAUGUCUGGGAAACUGCCUGAUGGAGGGGGAUAACUACUGGAAACGGUAGCUAAUACCGCAUACCAUCGGAUGUGCCCAGAUGGGAUUAGCUAGUAGGUGGGGUAAAGGCUCACCUAGGCGACGAUCCCUAGCUGGGCUGAGAGGAUGACAAGCCAAACGGGAACUGUAACCCGGUCCAGACUCCACCGGGAGGCAGAAGUGGGGAAUAUUGCACAAUGGGCGCAAGCCUGAUGCAGCCAUGCCUCGUGGAUGAAGAAGGCCUUCGGGUUUUAAAGUACUUUCAGCGGGGAGGCGUUACCCGCAGAAGAAGCACCGGCUAACUCCGUGCCAGCAGCCGCGGUAAUAC
rnacentral:rRNA from 1 species